GGGGUGGGGGGUGAGCCUACAGGCGAAUGGCAGCCUACACAUCUCACAUUAACCACUUGUGUUUUACACCGCGGUUCGUCGCAUCUCUCAUAAUGGUUUGCUGAUUUUCAUAAUGUGCACAGUACACACAAUGCCAACUGGUGUAAUGUAUUCCUCUGAACAUGAAAAUAACACCCAUCUCACUCCAUAAUCAAACGCACCAAAUGUUCUCGCCGACUGUCGUGCUCUGCGCAAAAGAAAACAGAAAAAAAAAAAGAGAGAGAGAGAGAAAGAGAGACAGAGAGAGAGAGAGAGGAGCGGUCCUUUCUGCACCCUGAAAUUCCUCUGCUUGCCUUGCUUCAGCGUGUGCAUGGGGAGCUGUUCAAUGCGUAACUCUGGUCCAAGUAGGCGGUGAAUCUCCUGAAGCUCGACUUUAGAUUUGUGCUUGGAGUUUGUUUUUUUGUUUUUCUCCCUCCAGGAUGGAUCAACAGCGUCUGCAGUUUACCUGAGAUAUCAUGAAGUCCAGUGAAGGGAAACGGAACAACAAGUUUUUCUCCAUAUUUUGUUUUUCUCCUCGUAUUUAAAUCUGACCCUGACGAGAUGUUGUUGCUUUUUUUUUAUUAUUAUUAUUGAAAUAUAACGUGUUUCCCACAUUAUUCUUAUGCAGGUUGGAAAAGCAUAAUUUGAUUUAAGUAAACAAUGAAAAAAUAAUGUUCCUGGUUGAGAUGAAUAUAUUAAAAGCAAAUAUGAGUAUGAA